CCUACGGGAGGCAGCAGUGGGGGAUAUUGCACAAUGGGGGGAACCCUGAUGCAGCGACGCCGCGUGGGUGAAGAAGCGCCUCGGCGCGUAAAGCCCUGUCAGCAGGGAAGAAAAUGACGGUACCUGACGAAGAAGCCCCGGCUAACUACGUGCCAGCAGCCGCGGUAAUACGGUGGGUGCAAGCGUUAUCCCGAUUUACUGGGUGUAAAGGGGGCGCAGACGGCGAUGCAAGCCAGGAGUGAAAGCCCGGGGCCCAACCCCGGGACUGCUCUUGGAACUGCGUGGCUGGAUGGCAGGAGGGGCAGGCGGAAUUCCUGGUGUAGCGGUGAAAUGCGUAGAUAUCAGGAGGAACACCGGUGGCGAAGGCGGCCUGCUGGACUGCAACUGACGUUGAGGCCCGAAAGCGUGGGGAGCAAACAGGAUUAGAUACCCUUGUAGUC
rnacentral:rRNA from 1 species